AUAUUUCAUAUUGGCGCCUAAAUUUUUGCCCAAAUAUGUUAGUCUUCACAUGGUUCUAUUCUAGCUCUCUCUUGCUCUCUCUCUCUCUCUCUCUCUCUCUCACAGAGAAUCGAUCACCACCGCCCCUCAUCUCGCCGUUGUAGACGACCACAGUUUCCGUCAAUCUUCCACUGUCGAACAUCACCACCACAGCUCACGAUUGCCUCGCCUCCCAUCGACAUUCAGGUGGGUGACACGGGAAGAGGCAUUUGCUGCAUCUGAAACUUCUUCAAAUUCAACUAAAAAAAGGCCCAAGUGAUGGCUUUGUUGCGUGGACUUGUGAAUAAUUCAUAUUGGUGUAUGGAGAAGAAUUU